rnacentral:rRNA from 1 species
UGCGUAGGCGGGCUAAUAAGUCAGUGGUGAAAUCUCUCGGCUCAACCGGGAAACUGCCAUUGAUACUGUUAGUCUUGAGUUCGGUUGAGGUAGGCGGAAUGUGUAAUGUAGCGGUGAAAUGCUUAGAUAUUACACAGAACACCAAUUGCGUAGGCAGCUUACUAGGCCGAAACUGACGCUGAGGCACGAAAGCGUGGGGAGCGAACAGGAUUAGAUACCCUGGUAGUC